AAAAUUGGGGUGGGACAAGACAUGCGAGUCGAGCGUCUCUAGCUAUGUUGAGACGCGGCAUACGGCUCAGUACCACUUGGCUAACCCACCCUCAGGACGGGGACAAACCCGGGAAACUGGGGCUAAUAUCCGAUAGGCGAGGAAUCCUGGAAUGUUUCUUCACCCAAAGGACAUUGGAAACAUGCUUUCUCUGUCGCCUGGGGAUGGGGCCGCGUCCGAUCAGGUUGUUGGUGAGGUAAUGGCUCACCAAGCCUUUAACCGGUACGGGCCGUGAGAGCGGUAGCCCGGAGAUGGGUACUGAGACAAGGACCCAGGCCCUACGGGGCGCAGCAGUCGCGAAAACUCCGCAAUGCACGAAAGUGUGACGGGGCUACCCCGAGUGCCGUCCGCUGAGGAUGGCUUUUCCUUGGUGUAACUAGCCGGGGGAAUAAGGAGAGGGCAAGACUGGUGUCAGCCGCCGCGGUAAUACCAGCUCUCCGAGUGGUAGGGAUGAUUAUUGGGCUUAAAGCGUCCGUAGCCGGCUUAGCAAGUUUCCUGUUAAACCCAGCGACUCAAUCGUUGGAUCGCGGGAAAUACUACUAGGCUAGGAGGCGGGAGAGGUCAACGGUACUUCUGGGGUAGGGGUGAAAUCCUAUAAUCCCGGGAGGACCACCAGUGGCGAAGGCUGUUGACUAGAACGCGCUCGACGGUGAGGGACGAAAGCUGGGGGAGCGAACCGGAUUAGAUACCCGGGUAGUCCCAGCUGUAGACGAUGCGAGCUAGGUGUUGGAAUGGCUACGGGCCAUUUCAGUGCCGCAGGGAAGCCAUUAAGCUCGCCGCCUGGGGAGUACGGCCGCAAGGCUGAAACUCAAAUGAAUUGACGG
rnacentral:rRNA from 1 species